GACGAACGCUGGCGGCGUGCUUAACACAUGCAAGUCGAACGGUAAGGCCCUUCGGGGUACACGAGUGGCGAACGGGUGAGUAGCACGUGGGUGAUCUGCCCUGCACUUCGGGAUAAGCCUGGGAAACUGGGUCUAAUACCGGAUAGGACCACUGCCUGCAUGGGUGGUGGUGGAAAGCUUUUGCGGUGUGGGAUGGGCCCGCGGCCUAUCAGCUUGUUGGUGGGGUGAUGGCCUACCAAGGCGACGACGGGUAGCCGGCCUGAGAGGGUGACCGGCCACACUGGGACUGAGAGACGGCCCAGACUCCUACGGGAGGCAGCAGUGGGGAAUAUUGCACAAUGGGCGCAAGCCUGAUGCAGCGACGCCGCGUGAGGGAUGACGGCCUUCGGGUUGUAAACCUCUUUCAGCACCGACGAAGCGCAAGUGACGGUAGGUGCAGAAGGAGGACCGGCCAACUACGUGCCAGCCGCCGCAGUAA
rnacentral:rRNA from 1 species